rnacentral:rRNA from 1 species
AGAGUUUGAUCCUGGCUCAGGACGAACGCUGGCGGCGUGCUUAACACAUGCAAGUCGAACGGAAAGGCCCUUCGGGGUACUCGAGUGGCGAACGGGUGAGUAACACGUGGGUGAUCUGCCCUGCACUUUGGGAUAAGCCUGGGAAACUGGGUCUAAUACCGAAUAUGACCAUGCACUUCCUGGUGUGUGGUGGAAAGCUUUUGCGGUGUGGGAUGGGCCCGCGGCCUAUCAGCUUGUUGGUGGGGUAAUGGCCUACCAAGGCGACGACGGGUAGCCGGCCUGAGAGGGUGACCGGCCACACUGGGACUGAGAUACGGCCCGGACUCCUACGGGAGGCAGCAGUGGGGAAUAUUGCACAAUGGGCGCAAGCCUGAUGCAGCGACGCCGCGCGAGGGAUGACGGCCUUCGGGUUGUAAACCUCUUUCAGCACAGACGAAGCGCAAGUGACGGUAUGUGCAAAAGAAGGACCGGCCAACUACGUGCCAGCAGCCGCGGUAAUACGUAGGGUCCGAGCGUUGUCCGGAAUUACUGGGCGUAAAGAGCUCGUAGGUGGUUUGUCGCGUUGUUCGUGAAAACUCACAGCUUAACUGUGGGCGUGCGGGCGAUACGGGCAGACUUGAGUACUGCAGGGGAGACUGGAAUUCCUGGUGUAGCGGUGGAAUGCGCAGAUAUCAGGAGGAACACCGGUGGCGAAGGCGGGUCUCUGGGCAGUAACUGACGCUGAGGAGCGAAAGCGUGGGGAGCGAACAGGAUUAGAUACCCUGGUAGUCCAA